rnacentral:rRNA from 1 species
GAUGAACGCUGGCGGCGUGCUUAACGCAUGCAAGUCGAACGGAAAGGCUCCUGCUUGCAGGGGUACUCGAGUGGCGAACGGGUGAGUAACACGUGGGUGAUCUGCCCUGCACUUCGGGAUAAGCCUGGGAAACUGGGUCUAAUACCGGAUAGGACGAUGGUUUGGAUGCCAUUGUGGAAAGUUUUUUCGGUGUGGGAUGAGCUCGCGGCCUAUCAGCUUGUUGGUGGGGUAAUGGCCUACCAAGGCGUCGACGGGUAGCCGGCCUGAGAGGGUGUACGGCCACAUUGGGACUGAGAUACGGCCCAGACUCCUACGGGAGGCAGCAGUGGGGAAUAUUGCACAAUGGGCGCAAGCCUGAUGCAGCGACGCCGCGUGGGGGAUGACGGCCUUCGGGUUGUAAACUCCUUUCGCUAGGGACGAAGCGCAAGUGACGGUACCUGGAGAAGAAGCACCGGCUAACUACGUG